CGUGCCAGCACAUCCGAUGCAAGGCAUUUCACCGUAUUCUAUCUUUAAUUUUUACCAUGGUCCUCUGAGGAAAACAAGCUCAGGGCUCCCACUGAUUGUACAUUAUGAGACAGAGUCUUCUUGCUAUGUUGCCCAGGCUGGUCUUGAACUCCUAACCUCAAGCGAUCCUCCCAUCUUGGCCUCCCAGGUGUCAGGAUUACAGGCAUGUGCUAUCACACCCAACCUGAUACAUUGCCUUUAUAAAUUUUUUUUUCUUUAUUCUAAAAAACAGAAAAAACAAAACUGGAUACAUGUGCAGAACAUGCAGGUUUGUUACAUAGCUGUACGUGUGCCAUGGUGGUUUGCUGCACCUAUUGACCUAUCCUGUGAGACGUGGUCUUGUAACACAGUGGUUAAGAAUGUGACUUUGGAGCCAGCCUGCUAGGGGCUGAAUUCUGACUCAGCCAUUUAUUAACUGUGUGACCUUAGGUCAUAGAAUUUUCCACACUCCUUGACGGAGGUUCUUAACCCUUAUCCAUCAGCAUUCUCAGACAGCACCUCCGGUUAGGGACAGUAUCUGACCGUCCGACAUCCCUGCAGCCCCCAUGCUGUCACACAGACUCAGCCUCAGGUAGAUGGUUUCCGUAGAUGGUGGCUUUCUUUGGACCCUUGAUAUCAACCAGUUACUAUUUGACUCUUCUGCAGAACCCCAUGUUGACCCCUGCUUUGAGGUGGCAGCGUUAACACUACUCUUUGUUAUAAGCUCUCGUCUGGGGCAACUCAGGAGAACGGGACCAGAUGUGCAGAGGUAAUGAAUACCAGGGAAUCAGGAAACCACUGGAUCAGUUCUUUGAGCCAUAGAACAACACUCAUCCCAGCAGCUGGGAAGCUAUCUGCAAAAGUCCAUCUGCAGAAAGGGCUUCCUGGUCUUGCGUGUGGCUGGGCCAUUUCUCUGGA
rnacentral:antisense_RNA from 1 species